rnacentral:ncRNA from 1 species
CUUCCGCAAUGGACGAAAGUCUGACGGAGCAACGCCGCGUGAGUGAAGAAGGUUUUUCGGAUCGUAAAAACUCUGUUGUUUAGGGAAGAACAAGUGCCGUUCGAAUAGGGCGGCACCUUGACGGUACCUAACCAGAAAGCCACGGCUAACUACGUGCCAGCAGCCGCGGUAAUACGUAGGUGGCAAGCGUUGUCCGGAAUUAUUGGGCGUAAAGCGCGCGCAGGUGGUUUCUUAAGUCUGAUGUGAAAGCCCACGGCUCAACCGUGGAGGGUCAUUGGAAACUGGGGAACUUGAGUGCAGAAGAGGAAAGUGGAAUUCCAAGUGUAGCGGUGAAAUGCGUAGAKAUKUGGAGGAACACCAGUGGCGAAGGCGGCUCUUUGGUCUGUAACUGACGCUGAGGCGCGAAAGCGUGGGGAGCAAACAGGAUUAGAUACCCUGGUAGUCCACGCCGUAAACGAUGAGUGCUAAGUGUUAGAGGGUUUCCGCCCUUUAGUGCUGCAGCAAACGCAUUAAGCACUCCGCCUGGGGAGUACGGCCGCAAGGCUGAAACUCAAAGGAAUUGACGGGGGCCCGCACAAGCGGUGGAGCAU